rnacentral:lncRNA from 1 species
AAACCAGGCUUGAUCUCACAACCCUGAGAUCACAACCUCAGCCAAAACCAAGAAUUGCCCACUUAAUCCAUUGCACCACCCAGGUGCCCCCUAAACAUUAUUUCUAAUGGCUUCAUAAUAUUCCAUUAUAAUGACAUAUCCAUCAGAAUCACUUAUAAAUUACUUUCAGCCCAGUCACACCACUGGAUGUUUAGGCUAUUUCUAACUUCUAAUCACUUUAGUAACAGUUAAAAAAAAAACUCUGAAUAAUCUCUGUGCAUAAACAUCAUCUAACAUUUUGGAUAUGGUCUUAGCUGUACCUCCACCUCCAAAAGUGAAAUAAACUUACCAGAAUGUACGAACAAUUCAAAUUUUUAAAACUAAAUCAGACUUUCUAUUUAUCCCUUACUGAAUUUCUUUUCUAAUUUGGGCCUUCGUUCUGGAUGACUGUGAACCCUGAUCUAUCAACUAAAAAAGCAACCUGUCCCAACUCUGUGCCAUCAACAAAGCUGACAAACACACCUUCUGUAUCACGAUCCACAACACUGGAAAAGAUGUUGAGUAGCUCAAGGCCAAAAAUAGAACCCUGCAACACUAAUUUUCAGACCCCAUUCCAGGUUGACUCAGUGCCACUAGUUAACAGUUUUUGCGUAUGACUGUCAAAUUAAUAACACCACCCAGCCCACAUUCUACCGCUUAUUUAAUACAGACCAUCACAUCUUAAGAAACUGUUAAAUACUUUACCAAAGCCAGAGUGCACCAUAGCUACUGCCUCAUUCCUCUGUUCUAGUAACAGAACCACCAUAUAAAACAGGAAAUGGAUUCAAUUUGAUACCGUUAGGCUGACUUUUGAUUAUCCUUACACCCUACCACCACACAUUUUUAACCAAAGAGCACUUCAGCUCUGACUUCUAUUACUGCCACAACAGCAACAGUUUAAGUAAUCAGAUUGUGCAACCUGUAGCUCACCUGGGGAAAUGCUCAGAAUCACUGAUGGUUAUGAACUUCCAGGGUAAACCAAACUGUCUCUAGACCAGAGUCCUGAAUUUACUCACUUCAGCUGGUCCUAAAAUAAGCCUAGUUUUCCAGGGGUCAUUUGCACAAACACCUGGGCUUAAACCAAUAAUUCCGCGGUCAUUUUGAAUCCUGGAUUAUAAAUCUCUGAACCCUAGAGGCCUACCCCCUGGGGGUUUCUUACGACUAGUGAAAUAAGAAAUGACAGAGCCCCUCUCUUUGCUCUUCCUUUACUACUGACUCAUACAACCAAAGAUCCUGAGAAUCUAAUGUCAUAUGGCAUUUGACAGUGGUGACUCACAUCUCCCCAAAUUAUUACCCCAACAUCAUUCUCAGAAGAUACAUGCCAGGAGCCACCAUCUACUGAUGCCAGCCAGAAGUAGAAAAUGGGAGGGCUUGAGAAAUCUUGAGGUCACUAGAAAUUGGCCUCACAAUACAUAACACAGCCCAAAGCCCUAAUUAGUACCAUUCCAAUCAUCAGAAAAAUCUUUCAAAGUCCUAGCCAGCAGUAACUCAGAAAGUGCUGGCCUUUUGGCUUGCCUAAAACAAAUUACUUGCACACAAAUAUCUCAGAUUCCAACAUGUCACACUCCUACCCAAAUCCCCCAGUGGCCACUCAAAGCCAGGACAGCCAUCCCAAAUUCCCUAGGUUGGCAUUUAAAGUCUCUUGAAAGAUCCGGUCACAAACCCAAAGGCCUGCCGGACUAAACAAGAAAUAUAGAGCAACCACACUCGUGCAACAGGGAAUGCUGGCACAAUGACAACUGGCGACCAUAGGACCCGUCUCCUGUCCACAGGGGUUCACCAUUGCUCACUGCCUGAUCUGAUUCUUUAACGGAGUCCCAAAUCCAGAGGUUUUCUGGAUUGUUCCAAUUCUUUCAAACCUUUGUGUUCUCCAAAUUAUAACACUUCUGUAGGUAGAACACGUUCUCUGGGUCUCUGGUUUACAACCCCUAUAUUUUGAUCCUAACCAACCUUUCCAGACUGGCUUCUCCCCACUCUUUAACAAGAACCCUCUAUUUCAUCCUAACCCCAAGCCUUCGUCCAGGUUACACACACACACACACACACACACACACCUGCAGGGCACCAUGCAACACCUCAGAGGGUUCAUCCCAGACUUCCUUCUCUAUCCCCAAAAGUUUUCCCAAGCUACUCCAGCCCAAGCUGCUUGCCCCCUCUUAUGAACCUGACAGGUGCUUAUUUUUCCCUUUGGCAUUUAAUCAUCUUGCCUUGCUCCUUAAUCAUCGGUAUACCUUAUCUCUCCAACUAGCCUGUAAAUGUUCAAUCUCUUCCUCAUGCUUCCUUCCACUUACAGCACUGGUAAGGGGAGCCCUGCACAUGAGCAGCUUAAUAAACAUUUACUAGAUGUGAAAACGCUCCAUAACUGUGUUUUUCAAACUCUGGGUUAUAUCCAUGACAGAGUGGUUAAGUCAACUUAUUGGGAGACAGUGAGCUUUUUUAAAUGAAAAAUAAAAGAAUAGAAAAUAAAAGCACCCAAGGAGACUGCACCAAGCAAAAGAAAGGAGUACUUCAAGAACUUAAAUUAGAUUUUUACAUACAUGAUUUCGUGUACCUGGGUCAUGAUGUCAAUUUUAUUUCUUAAUGUAGGUCACAGACAAAAAAAAAAGUGCAAAACACACACACACACACACACACUACUGUUUGAAGAAUAAAUUAGCUCAACCAUCGCUCCGUGAAAUUUUUUUGACAGUCAUAUAUUCCCUAUAAAGGAAAAAUAUCUGACGGCCGCCUCUGCCCACGCAAGGCAGCUUUCCCCUGCUAGUUCACUGAUCCUGCAUCUCAGAGAAACAAGGAGGCUCAAGGACUGUAAGUACGUUCUCCACUCCAUUCUGCAACUUUUUGCAAUCAUCCUUCAAAUUCGCCAGCCCUCAGAUGUUGCAAGUUGAGGCUUGGGGAAUUUGCUCAGCAAAUCACCCUAAGUCACCCUUGCAACAAGAAAGCGGAAUUCAGAGCUCAGGAAAAAACCGGCACCAGCUCCCCCGCUGCAGGUCGCUCUGUUCCUGAGAACUGGCAAUGGCAUGGGUUAGGACAGAUCUGGCCCUGGGAAGGGCAGUAUCCCUUGCUGGUCACUGUGCAGCUCCCCUGCCUUGUGGCUUCCCCACACCCACACCACCAUCCCCCCAAACACACCUAGGAAGGGACACCGGGAUAGCCUGAAGGUCUCAGUGGAGAGCAUAAUUCAACCGGUUUCAAAGCCCAAUAAUUUUUGUGUUUAGCAAAUUCCAUUCUUCCCUCCAAUCUCCAAUCCCAAGUUACUUUGCCAACUUCAGGACCAAGCAAUGUCAUCUGAAUGACAAUCAGAACAGACGUUUCCAAUUCAGACCCUCAGUCCCACUCACUAGCAUCCUCCACUGCUGGGACCUAUGACCUACGACCAAGACAACAUCCCACUCAACGUGUCUUCCCUCUCCUGGCUUUGGCAGCCUGGUUUCCCACCAAUCGCAGAGCUUCAGUUGCUUGCAAGACACCUAUGUUUGGACGUCUUGGCAAAUACAAGAAACCUCUGUAGCCUGUCAAUUGCUUCUCUCCAAAAUACACAUUUCCGAUUUCUCGAGUUACCAACUACAGCAGUUCCAAGGCCCUGGCGUGUAAUCAAUUUCCACAAAGAAUUAAUUUCCAUUCAUCUCCUUCCUUCACCCUGCCCCUGUCAACAGAUUAUUUCAACAGUAAUGCUUCUAAAAUCCACCCUCUUUCCCAUUUCCAGUUAUCCCAGUCCAAACUCUGAGCACUCUACAACUGUAACUGUCUACUGAUUUGUCUCUGAACAUUACUUUUAAAAACCUUUCCAAAUACCCUUUUAUUACGUCACUCUCUGGCUCAAAAAUCUUUAAUGUCUCCCCAGUACACACAGGGUAAAGUGCAAUUCCCCAGUCUGGCUUUCUAGGACUUUCACAAUCUUAACCAUUGUUCCUCUGCAUCUUUAUCUCCUGCUCAGGAAACGUUCCCUCGUCUGGCCAAGCCCAUCUCCUGUCUCUCAGGAAGGCCAUGGUCAAUCGCACCUCAUGACCCAUCUCGAGGGUCUCAUCCUCAGGAAUACAUUUCUAGUGAUUCCUGUGCAUAGCACUCUUCUCCGAGCUCCAACAGCACCUCUUCUAUACCUCAUAUUUUGACAGCUAAUUGUGUUUCAUCUUUAUUUUUUUUUUUUUUAUUUGAGAGAGAAAGGCAGAGGGAGAAGCAGGCUCCGUGCUGAGCAGGGAGCCCAACAUGGGGCUCGAUCCCAGGACCCAGGGAUCAUGACCUGAGCUGAAGGUAGACACUCAACCAACUGAGCCACCCAGGUGCCCCUGUGCCUUAUCUCGAGGUCUUCUUUCACGUGCUCAAGGAUUUGUCUUCUCCAUGAGAUUAUAAACCCUGGAAGGAAUCAUCUCAUGUAUCUUUUGUAUCCUCCCUCACUGAAAUAACUGUUUGAACCUAUUCUCCUCGGGCAAUACCUCUGCAACCUCUGGCACCUGUUACUUCUCUCCCUCUCUUGCCUUUGGGCCUUGGCCAAUGGGUAAUAUAUUCUCCAAGUGCCUAACUUUAUUUCAUAACUUAGUACCCUAAAUCCAUUCCCCAACUCUAACCUUUCCUUUGAUAUUCCUCCUCCCACCUCCCCACCCCCAGCAUCUACAGUAAUUUAGGCAGCCACAGCACAUUAAUUUGAACUUGAGCUCUCAAAUCACUUCCACCUGGUCAGUAGGAUUUCUGAGGCCUUAGAUUUCUUGUGUGCCUCCUAUCAUCUCUCCCUCAGAGCCUGGCACAGUCCUGAGAACACAGCAGCCCCUCAAAAGUACCUGUGGAGUUGAACUUAAUUGCUGUUUCCCUGUGUUUCAAAUUCCUUGAGACCCAGAACCUCUGUUUACACAACACCUCAGGAGGGUGUCAAGAAAAAAAAA